UACGAAGGGGGCUAGCGUUGUUCGGAAUUAUUGGGCGUAAAGGGCGCGUAGGCGGUCGGAUAAGUCUUGUGUGAAAUCUUCGGGCUCAACUCGAAGUCUGCACAGGAAACUAUCUGGCUUGAGUGUGGGAGAGGUGAGUGGAAUUCCUGGUGUAGCGGUGAAAUGCGUAGAUAUCAGGAGGAACACCUGUGGCGAGAGCGGCUCACUGGACCACAACUGACGCUGAGGCGCGAAAGCUAGGGGAGCAAACAGG
rnacentral:rRNA from 1 species